rnacentral:rRNA from 1 species
UGGGGAAUAUUGCACAAUGGGCGCAAGCCUGAUGCAGCCAUGCCGCGUGUAUGAAGAAGGCCUUCGGGUUGUAAAGUACUUUCAGCGAGGAGGAAGGCGAUGCGGUUAAUAACCGUGUCGAUUGACGUUACUCGCAGAAGAAGCACCGGCUAACUCCGUGCCAGCAGCCGCGGUAAUACGGAGGGUGCAAGCGUUAAUCGGAAUUACUGGGCGUAAAGCGCACGCAGGCGGUCUGUCAAGUCGGAUGUGAAAUCCCCGGGCUCAACCUGGGAACUGCAUCCGAAACUGGCAGGCUUGAGUCUUGUAGAGGGGGGUAGAAUUCCAGGUGUAGCGGUGAAAUGCGUAGAGAUCUGGAGGAAUACCGGUGGCGAAGGCGGCCCCCUGGACAAAGACUGACGCUCAGGUGCGAAAGCGUGGGGAGCAAACA